rnacentral:rRNA from 1 species
GAUGAACGCUGGCGGCGUGCCUAAUACAUGCAAGUCGAGCGAACGGACGAGAAGCUUGCUUCUCUGAUGUUAGCGGCGGACGGGUGAGUAACACGUGGAUAACCUACCUAUAAGACUGGGAUAACUUCGGGAAACCGGAGCUAAUACCGGAUAAUAUUUUGAACCGCAUGGUUCAAAAGUGAAAGACGGUCUUGCUGCCACUUAUAGAUGGAUCCGCGCUGCAUUAGCUAGUUGUUAAGGUAACGGCUUACCAAGGCAACGAUGCAUAGCCGACCUGAGAGGGUGAUCGGCCACACUGGAACUGAGACACGGUCCAGACUCCUACGGGAGGCAGCAGUAGGGAAUCUUCCGCAAUGGGCGAAAGCCUGACGGAGCAACGCCGCGUGAGUGAUGAAGGUCUUCGGAUCGUAAAACUCUGUUAUGAGGGAAGAACAUAUGUGUAAGUAACUGUGCACACCUUGACGGUACCUAAUCAGAAAGCCACGGCUAACUACGUG